CAGCCGCCGCGGUAAUACAGAGGGUGCGAGCGUUAAUCGGAUUUACUGGGCGUAAAGCGUGCGUAGGCGGCUUCUUAAGUCGGAUGUGAAAUCCCUGAGCUUAACUUAGGAAUUGCAUUCGAUACUGGGAAGCUAGAGUAUGGGAGAGGAUGGUAGAAUUCCAGGUGUAGCGGUGAAAUGCGUAGAGAUCUGGAGGAAUACCGAUGGCGAAGGCAGCCAUCUGGCCUAAUACUGACGCUGAGGUACGAAAGCAUGGGGAGCAUACAGGAUUAGAUACCCCUGUAGUCCCUGUCUCUUAUAC
rnacentral:rRNA from 1 species